rnacentral:rRNA from 1 species
UACGGAGGGUGCGAGCGUUGUCCGGAAUCAUUGGGCGUAAAGGGCGCGUAGGUGGCCCGGUCAGUCUUUGGUGAAAGCGCGGGGCUCAACCCUGCGUCGGCCAGGGAUACUGCCGCGGCUGGAGCACUGUAGAGGCAGGCGGAAUUCCGGGUGGUAGCGGUGGAAUGCGUAGAGAUCCGGAAGAACACCGGUGGCGAAGGCGGCCUGCUGGGCAGUUUUGCUGACACUGAGGCGCGACAGCGUGGGGAGCAAACAGGG